GAUGAACGCUGGCGGCGUGCUUAACACAUGCAAGUCGAACGGAAAGGCCCAAGCUUGCUUGGGUGCUCGAGUGGCGAACGGGUGAGUAACACGUGGGUGAUCUGCCCUGCACUUUGGGAUAAGCCUGGGAAACUGGGUCUAAUACCGGAUAGGACCAUCGUUUAGUGUCGGUGGUGGAAAGUUUUUCGGUGUGGGAUGAGCUCGCGGCCUAUCAGCUUGUUGGUGGGGUAAUGGCCUACCAAGGCGUCGACGGGUAGCCGGCCUGAGAGGGUGUACGGCCACAUUGGGACUGAGAUACGGCCCAGACUCCUACGGGAGGCAGCAGGGGGGAAUAUUGCACAAUGGGCGCAAGCCUGAUGCAGCGACGCCGCGUGGGGGAUGACGGCCUUCGGGUUGUAAACGCCUUUCGCCAAGGACGAAGCGUUUUGUGACGGUACUUGGAGAAGAAGCACCGGCUAACUACGUG
rnacentral:rRNA from 1 species